rnacentral:tRNA from 1 species
CAAAAAGUAGCUUACAAAAGCACCUGGCUUACAACCAAGAGAUGCCGUAUUAACUGCGGUCUUUUUGA